rnacentral:rRNA from 1 species
AGUUUGAUCCUGGCUCAGGACGAACGCUGGCGGCUUGCCUAAUACAUGCUAGUCCAGCGGACCUUUAGGGGUCAGCGGCGGACGGCUGAGUAACACGUGGGCAAUCUGCCCUAUACUCUGGGAUAACGCUUGGAAACAAUGUGCUCAUGCCUCUAUGGUCUUCUUGGCCCCCUGGCCCAAAAGGAAAAGACACGUUCACCUCCGUGUCUGAUGAUCCCACUUCCCUUUACCUAUUUGGUCACGUAACGCCCCACCAAUGCGAGAAUACCUAGCCCACCUGAUAUGGUGACCGGUCGCUCUGGGACUGAUACACGGCCCUUACUCCUACGGGAGGCACCGAUAGGCAAUCUUCCCUAAUACUCCGAAAGCCUGAUGGAUCACCGACUCUUGAGUGAUGAAGGCCUUCUGGUUGUAAAACUCUGUGCUCCAUCGACGAUCCGCACUCUGAGGAAAUACUCACUCUCUUACCGUCCCGGAAGAUGAAGCCCCGGCUAACUACCUGCCAGCGGCCGGUCUAAUACUUAGGGGGCUAGUCUUCUCCGGAUUC